CUUUUCUUCUCUAUACUCAGUAUACAUGUCCAAUUAUUUUUCAUUCCACAUGAAGAAAUUAAUGGUUUUACUCCUUAUCUGUUUUAAUAGUGAGAACUAAUAUUGGCUUUUGUAGUACUUAUCUUCGGGUACUAGCCAUGUAGCCAUGACAUUUUUUUUUUUUGCAAGUUUGGAUCACGGGGAUGUUCUCGGUGUUAUGCUCAAAACAAUUUAAGAACAAAUUAGUUAUAAAGUGGAAGUUAAUUAAAUUAAAAACAUCUAUUUAGAUUGUUAGGUUAAGAUCAACUUGUGGUAUGUGUAACUUAAAAACAAAUUUGAAAUCAAUCAAUCAAAUUGGUUUGUCUUUCUUUGAAGAUGUCUUUGUCUUCAGAAUGGUGUCUCGAAGAUCACAAGCAAAUCGUAGUGCUUCGCCUCUAAUGUUGAUUUAUGCAGACGGUUGUUGAAACCCUUGUAAAGCCCACUAUUCAUUUCUACUAGUUUGAAAAUUUAUUAAUCUAAAUCAAAAGGUAACUAUCUGUUUGCUUCUGGCCAAAUAAGAGCUUUCAACCAAGAGUUUCGGCUUAAGAAGACUAAAAGCUAAUUUGGAGAAACUCAAUGAGACUUGGCAUAAUGGUUUAGGGUUUCUUAGGGAUUAAAAUUGCACAAGAAAAACCUUGAGGAAACGGUGUUUUUCUUAAAAAGAGAAAAAACAACCUUGAAAUACAAUUCUUUGUAUUUUAGAGAUCGAAAGAAAUGCUUGGGAUUUGCUUGAAUAUUGAAAUGCUGGGCCAACCACUAAUUAUAGUGGAAGAUUGGGUGGAAUCACAACUAGCUUGGAACUCCUACUUGAAGAACUCUUAUUCUGCAAGUCCUAGUUGUUCAAUUUAACUUAGUUCCUUAAAUGAAUCUUUCCCAGUAAGGCUACUGACAAGCCUAGGUGCUAGGGGGGAUAAAGAAUUAUUGGAUUGACCUUAUCAGUCCAAUUGGUUUUAGGGCAUAAGAACUUUUAGGAAAACCCUUACCAUUCAAAUUACAAAGAUGAGAUUAAUGCAGGAGACAUCUUUUAAUUGGGUUACAACUAGAUUCCUCCCUUUUUGAUUCUAUAUAGUCGCUAAUUAGGAGACCUCUUUUAAACUAUUUUAUGUUACAGAAUAUUUGUGUAUAAUAUUAAAUGGCAAACUUAUAACGAUUAUGUAGAUUACAUAGCAGAUUUUUAGGGGUUGGAUUUGAUUUAUUUAUUUUAUUUUCUUUCAUUUUACUAUUAAUCCUAGAUAUAUAUGUAAUCCUUGAUAGAAUGAAAUACAAGUUUAGAGAACAUCAGUUUCCCUCUUCUUUUAAGUUCUUUAAAAUUUGUUUCAUGGUAUCAGAGCCUUUCGAAUCAAUUUUUUGGUUCGUGUUUCGUCGCUUCCAUCUCAAAAUAAUUUUUUGUGGGUUUCUUUUCCAAUGAUCGUUGGUGUGCAUUGUUUGCAUAAGGAGUGGUAGCGUCUUUUCAGCCAAUUUGUUGUUUAUAGCCAACAAAAGUCUCGCAUAUGAGGCUAAUGUGCCGCCUAAAGCCAUAUGCCCCACCAUGCACUUACGCAUAGGGGUGCGUGAACAGUCAUCUCGCCACCAUUUUUUGCCUCCACCAGUAGUACUAGAUCAAACAUCUACUCAACCUCCUAUUGUUCAAGCCUAUUCUCAAAGACAAAAGCCUCCUAACUCAUGUACUCCACCAGUUCCUUCAUCGGAAGAUCCAAUCACGAGUGACCUAGAUCCCAGUCUUGAUCUACCUAUUGCUCCUUGAAAAGAAGAAAUGGUGGCUCUGGAUAAUAAUACUUGUGAUUCAGUAAAUUUGCCUACAAAUAAGAAAGCUAUCGGAUGUAAAUGGGCGUUUGCGGUAAGAAAUCUGGAUGUAUACGUGGCUCGACUUGUUGGUGAAGGAUAUGCUUAAACUUAUGGAAUUGUCUAUUCAAACAUUCUCUCCAAUUGCUAAACUAGCUUCUGUUCAAUUGUUCAUCUCCAUGGUAGCUCCAUAUGAUUGGCCCUGGCAUCAGCUGGAUAUAAAGAAUGCUUUGUUACAUAGUGAUCUCCAUGAAGAAGUCUAUAUAGAGCAACCACCUGGUUUUGUUGCUCAGGGGGAGAAAGGGAAAGUUUGUCAUAUUCGAAAAUCUUUAUAUGUUCUGAAACAAACUCCUCGAACUUGGAUUGCCCAACUUAGUGAGGUGGUCCAAGCUUUUGAUUUAAAGAAGAGUAGUUGUAAUCAUUCAGUUUUCUACAAACAUUCAGAGGUAGGUAUGAUUCUACUAGAUAUCUAUCUAAGUCAUAGCAAAUUUUCCAAGCUUUUAUAUGAAUGUCUCAAAAACAGCCACACCCUUAGCCAAAAGUUUAUACAGGUAUAGUUGUAUAGAUAAAAAAUUAUGAAUUUUAGAGUUACCUUAUCUACACUUAACAGGUCCAAUCUCUCCUAAAAUAGUAUAAACUGAUGCCUUUGAAAUAGGAUAUAGAGGAACCUUAAAUCAAGGCAAAGUUAGAAAGGAACAGUUAAUGGGAUCCCUAAAGCAAUUGGGCUUAGUUCAAUAUUUCUAAUGGGAUCUAGUUCAACUGGGUUUGUAUCUCCUUCUAGUCUCCACUUAUCUGGGAGUUAGACUUUGUGUCACUGUAUUGUUUUGAGUAUUGUCGCCUGGGAUCUUGUCAUGUUAGUUUGGAUAAAAAGAGCCUCUCCUUUUGGGCUGUGAACUAAAGCUUUUAUAUUAACCACAAAAUUUAUGGCCUUGUAAUAAAGCCUGUAAACUAAUAUUAAUAUUUUUGUUCUAGGAUGCAUUUUGUAAUUAUGAGUGUGGACUUGAAGAGUUAAAGAUUUUAAAAUAUUUUUGUCAAUUAAUGGAACUAUAAAGUUUGGGGCUUAGAGUUAUAUAUCAUUUUGGCAGUUUGGUUCCCUUUAUCUUUUUUGUUUUUACCGUUUUACAGUUUGCCUAUUCUUUCUUUUGUUUCUUUUUAUGUUUUGUUUUUUUUUAAUUUUCAUUUGGAUUAUUUUUUACUUUAGUAAUUUCUUUUUUUAUUUUUUAAUGUAAUAAGCAAAUAUAUUAUUAUAUAGUUGAUGGGUGUUGAAAGCACCAAAUAUAAAUUUCUAUGACAAAAUAACAGUAAUUAGCAGUAUAGAGCAGUAGGGUCGAAUCCACAGGGACUAGCUAUCUAAUUUUGCCUUUUUUGUGACCAGAAUCGAUGUCGCGGUCACAGUCGUGCCCAUGACCUAUGGGUAGAAAUGCUGAAAUAAAAAUAAAAAUAAAAAUGGGGGGUUUAAAUUGGUUAAGAUAAUAGAAGAAGAAAAUACAAAAAAAAUAAAACAGAUUCGAAAAUGCAAAAAAUAAAUAAAUUUAAGAAAAUAAAAUAAAUGGAUAAAUAAAAUAUAUUUUUAAGCUUAGCCUUAGCCUCGGUGUACUCUAAUCUUGAAUUGGUCCCUGAAAUAGAUUUUCCCUUCCAAGCAAUAAGUUGAUUAUAACGACCAAAAACGCCUCGAUCGCCAACUUUUCCUUAUGUAGUCAAUCCCGGUACAACCUACAAAUUGACUCUUGCCAAAUGCGAUACAUUUGUUCACAAUUUAAGAUUUCGACAGCCUUACGAUCUGAGAAGCCCAACUAGAAUUAACGAUCUCAAUUGAGUGGGUCGUUUAAAUCUGAUCUCUAUCUCCCUUGACAAAAUCCAACUGACUUUUCCCACCUAGACAUGCCAAUUUGUUCACGGAAAUUUGAACACAGCAUUACUGAUUUGUCUUCCCAACUGUACCCUAAACAACUCCAACCCAACGUGCAAUUUUUGAACCGAAGCUAAAUCAACUUUAAGGGACGAAUUUGUACUAUCCCAUACACCGGAGAGAUAGAAAAUACUAUGUUGAGAGGUUUUUUGAGUGGGCUCGUAUCUCACGAUUGUUUUAUUGGAGCAAUUUUCGAGCUAAAGCUAAAAGGGAUUUAGUUAAUCAUGAAAAAAGUCAUACUUUGAAAAUAGAUUUGUGGAAUUGUGCAAAGUGGGAAGGGAAAGGGCCUUGGAAGAUAAUUAAACCAAAAGUUGAAAGUAAAGAAAAAAAAAAGAAUGAAACAACAUAAUAUAAAUGUGAUCCAGGAAAGGAAAAAAAAUAGAGAAUUUAUUAAAUGUGAAAGGUAAAG